GCCUUAAUAAAAGUAUUUUGUUUUGUUUGAGGAGACUGAUGUGUAAACACCAUACAUGAAGGGGUGAAGGUACGUCAUCGUGACGUAGGUUGUAUACAAGGAAGUGGAUUGUGAGCGUGCUGGCUAACACAUUCUGGCUAGCUACAUAGCUUUAAUCUACAGCUUUUAUGCAGCAUGUUAGCGGUAAAUCUGAUUCAAGCGUUUAAACAGCAACACCGUGUAAAAGUCUACCAACAACACAGAACCCGUUACGUCACUUACUAAACGGUGGAGCGUCUCCUGCCCUGCUUAAGUGGAAAAGUGGAUGUCCUUCUCUUCAACCCUCCCUAUGUGAUCCCACCUUCAGAAGAGGUGGCGAGGCUCUGUACAGCAACUUCUUCAGUUCAGAUAUGAGGAGCAUUUGAUCAAUGGGUGCUUUUCUUUCAGGUGGGCAGCACGGGUCUAGAGGCUGCCUGGGCCGAGGGUGAGAGGUGACCGACAGGUUUCUGUCUGUGGGAGCACAGAUGCUCUCCACCAAAGGGUUAUUCUACCUCAUUACUAUAGCAGACAACGAUGAUGCCUCGGAAAUGAUUUUCAGUGCAACAUUCUGGAUAACAAGUGUAGUAAUGUUUCCUUUUCUCAGCAGAGGAGAUUAUCCGUGUACCGGGUAAAUGUGGUUGAGGGGAGAGUCAUGCUUGUCGACCAGAGCUGGAAAUGAGAGGCUGUCCAUCCUGUGAUUCCAUAGAGCUAACAAACAUGGAACUGUCACUUAGAAAUCUACUGAAAGGAUUACAGGAGCUGACGAGAAGAAAUAUUUUCAUGAUAUCAUUUUUGACUGAUGGGACACUAUUGUCUCCAAAGACAAAGGUUUACUGCAGAGGGAAACAGAAAGAAUCCUCAGAGAACCGGUGGAAAGAACUUUCUAAAUAAAGCUCUGCAGAACAAAUUAACUUUUCUUUGCAAGAAAUUGUUGAAAUGACUAAGGUGCUUCUGAUGUACUGAUGUACUUUUUUUUUUCUUUCUGUGUAAAUAUAGUUAAAGUAAAGUUAUAGUAGUAGUUAUAGUAUAGUUGAAGUGUAUAUUUUGACCCCAAGGAAAUCACCAAAGUAAGAUUUGUAGGUGUUUAUGCAGCAGUUGAAACAACUGUGUGCAUGUAAACGUACUGAAUCCAACAGACAAAUCUUCACACGCAAGAGCAACAAGACAUGAUCCCCAAAAUGUUUUUUUUUCCUUUCCUUCAGUUAUAUGGUAGCCUGACAAGCCAGACCCACAUCAAGAUGUUAAAUUUGCUGCCGCUAGGGUGCGUCUAUAUUUCUAGGCUAGUUAUAUGGUGUGUUAGACUGAAUUAAAUCCCUGUUGGACUUGUGUA